rnacentral:rRNA from 1 species
GCGGUAAUUCCAACUCCAAGAGUGUCUAUGGUGGAUGCUGCAGUUAAAGGGUCCGUAGUCGUAGAUGCAAUUAAAAGGUGGUGUUAAAAGCCAUUGAGUUUGUUGAGAGUAGCGGAACGGAUAGGGAGCAUGGUAUAGGUGGGCAAAGAAUGAAAUCUCAAGACCCCACCUGGACCAACGGAGGCGAAAGCGAUGCUCUUAGACGUAUCUGGGGAUCAAGGACGAAGGCUAGAGUAUCGAAAGUGAUUAGACACCGCUGUAGUUCUAGCAGUAAACUAUGCCGACAAUGCUGGGUGUUGCGAGAGCGAUGCUUGGUGUGGGAGAAAUCUUAGUUUUCGGGCUCUGGGGAUAGUACGCUCGCAAGGGUGAAACUUAAAGCGAAAUUGACGGAAGGACACUACCAGGAGUGGAUUGUG